rnacentral:rRNA from 1 species
GACAGAGGAGCCAAGCGUUGUCCGGAUUGACUGGGCGUAAAGCGCACGCAGGCGGGUGCGCGCGUGGGGUGUGAAACCUGGCCGCUUAACGGCCAGCGGCCAUCCCAUACGGCGCGCCUGGAGCCUUGCAGAGGGCGGUGGAAUUCCCAGUGUAGUGGUGAAAUACGUAGAGAUUGGGAAGAACACCAGUGGCGAAGGCGGCUAUCUGGACGGUUUCUGACGCUAAGACGCGAAAGCGUGGGGAGCAAACAGG